UUUAUUUAUAACUACAAUAUAAAUUUAUAAAAUAUAUAUAUUAUAAAUUAAUAAUUUAUUUACCCUUGAAGUCUAACGAUUAAAAAUAGAACAUAAUUCAAUAUAGGUAUAUGAUUCUAUUAAUAAAUUAGCAGUUACAAAUUUGAAAUUUCUAGAAAUAUCAAAAGUCGUAUGUUAGUUAAUUAUCUUCUAAAUGACAUCUAUUUCUAAUUCUUUUUGGAUGAUAAUAUUUUAGCUGAUGUGGAUAGUCCCAAAAACCUUAAAUUUAGUCCCUUUUAUAUAGUAGGAUAAUUGGCAAAAGUGCAUAUAUGAGAGGCUUUAAUUAGCCACUUACACUUGAUUUGACAUAAAUAUUUUCAUGACCAUUUAGCCAUCUCUCUUAUUUCCUACAUAUUCUUUACUAGCUUUCUGUCUCUCUUUCUCUCUCUCUUCUCUCUUACUUCUCGCCAUUUUCUCUUCUAUUUUUUUUCUUCUUCCUGAAAACAUAUGUGAUGUUUCUAACUCCAAUCUCUAAUUAUUAUACAAAGCUCUAUUAUUCUAUAUCCAAUUCAAUUUUAAUUUUAAUAUUUAUUUCAUAUGUGGCUUUGAAUCUUCAAUUUUAUCGGUUCUUAUUUGAUUAUCAAUAUAAAUAGUAUUUAUAGUGCUUAAGCCAAUCAAUAAUAUAAUAACAGUCUUUAUAAUGCAAUAUUUGCUAUUAGUCUAAUAUAUUUGUUAUCAUGUAACAUAUAUGUUAGUUACUAAAAUUUACAUUAACAUGUAAAACAUCACGGAUAGCAGUCAAUAAUCGCCAUUUGUCGAUUGUUAAUAUUUGAUGUAUCAAUUAAAAACUAUUGUAAAUGCUAACAUAGGUGUCAGCCGUUAACAAUACAUAUACUAUAGGUGUUAACAGAGGUGCUGUUAACAAAUACUUGUAGCUGUUAACAGGGGUAUUAGCAGUUAAUAAAUAAUAUUGUAGAAUUUUCAAUUUAUCUAUCAAACUGAGUAAAUUUAAAAAUCAAUGUUAUAUUACGAAGAAGAAAAGAGAAUGAAGUGUUUUACGGAUAAAAAUAGCGGAGGAUUGGAGAAUAUAGAAAGAAAAGAAAUUAUAAAAGUAAAAAAAGUGAAAAUAAGAAGAAAUAGACUAUCAACAGAGAAGACCAUAUUCCUACCAAAAAAAAAAACAGAGAAGACCAUAUUGCAGAGGAAGAAAAGAGAGUGACAUGAGGGAAAGAGAGUGCCAGAUGAGAGAAAGAGAAUGUGAGGAAGGAAAAAACGCCAGAAAACUAUUAUGGUCAAACUGAAGGUAAAAUGGUAAGGCAAAUUGCAUUUGUGUCAAUUCAAUGGUAAAUAUCUAAUAUGGACUUCAAAUAUGGGUACUUGACUAAUUCUCCCUUUUACAUAAUAGUGUAUUCGUACUAAUGAUAUAUUAAGUCUUUAGUUUUUUUUAAAUAGAGCCGCAGCAGCACACCGGUUAGUUUCUGCAAUUAAGUUUUUAUUUUUACGCCGACAGAAAAGUAUUUACUUUUACACUAUUGGCAACGCAGAAGAAGGUACCGUUGGUUUGAAGUUUGAAUCUCAUUAUCUACGAACUGCCAAUAGGCCGUCUGAUGCGAAUCAGCUCAUAUGGGUUUUUUAGAUCUGCGACAGACUUGGAAAACUUAUAGGGAAGCCUUCUGAGAAGUUUUCUAACAUUUAUUGCACUAGACGACUUCCUGGAAGUCUACUGACAAAGUCUUCUACCAUGUCAAGUGGAGUCUAUGCUUGUCUUUGUGGAGGAAUGAGCUAUAACAGUUUUGUUUAUGGUUUGUUUUGUAAUUUGUAUGUGUACUCUUUUAGUUGUGAAUUUUUUUGUAAAUUUGAAAAUAUAUUAAAGAAAACAUUUGGUAAACAUGUUCAUGUCUACAAUAUUAUCUUGCCUAAAGUACUUGAUAGUAUUGAAGUUAUUGAUACUACUUCAAUAGCAAAACACAAUAACAAAAAAAAAUUAGUCAAAUUUACUACAACUAAUGGAGAAAACUUCUCAAGAAAACUUAGUCAAAUUUUCAAAGAUCAAACAUUACAUUAGUUCAACCCUAUAACGGUUUCAUUAGAAGUCUUCUGGGAAGAUUUCUUCUCAUAAGACUUUUUGGAAGACUUAAAUUUCAAGCGGAAAUUUUAAAUAUAAGCGGGAAAUUUAAGCGGAAAACUAAAAUUUAAGCGAAAAACUCAAAUUUUAAGUGGAAAUUAAAAUUUCAAAUUGUAUGAAAGUUAAAAUGUAUAUCUUAUGAUCUAAGAAGACACAUUAAACCAUAUGACUUGAUAUUCUUGAAGUUACUUAACACUUUUGAAAGUUAGAAAAUAUAUAUCUUAAAAUUAAAAAUAAAAGUCUUCUCUCAUUAGCUAGAAAUAUUAAUAAACAUGAAUGUUGUUAACCUCAUGAUAUCACCAAUUAAGUUAUGAAUUUCAUUCAGGAUCCCUAAUAUUGAAAAAUAUACAUGAAUUAACAAGAAAAUGUUAAAACGUCUUUAUAGUUUUAGAGAAAAUAAAAUUUUAUUAAAGGUUGACAUAGACGACUUCCACAAAAAUCUUCUGGAAGACUUACACGGAAGUCUUCUGGUCAAUGCAUAGGUUAGUUUUGCAAUUGGCUUUAUGUGUCAAAAAUUUAAUUUUUCCUAGACAACUUACAUGGAAGUCGUCUAAGAUAAACAUGUUAGUUUUGCAUUUGACCGGAUUGUGUCAUAAAUUUGAUUUUUCCUAGACGACUUACACGAAAUUCGUCCAACAUAAAAAUAAAAUUUAAAUAAUUAGAUGAAUUCAAUGUAAGUCGUUUCAGGUUACUUUUGCAAUUGAAAAAUAAAACUUUAAUAUUUUAUUUUAUCCGAACGACUUCCAUAUAAGUCUUUCGGCAGACGGCUUACACGAAAGUCUUUUGUAAUAACAAAGGUUUGACCAGAAUCUCGGAAUAAAAUUUUGGAAGACUUUCGUGUAAGUCGUCUACUGGAAGACUUACAUGGAAGUCGUCUGGAUAAAAUUAAAUAUUUAAUUUUUAUUUUUCAAUUGCAAAAGUAACCUGAAACGACUUACUUGGAAGUCGUCUAGUAAAAAUUAAAUAUUUUGUUUUAUUUUUAUGUUGGACAACUUUCAUGUAACUCGACUAGAAAUAGUCGAAUUUCUGACACAAUCCGGUCAAAUACAAAACUAACUUGUUUAUCCUAGACGACUUACCGGGACGUCUUCUCUAAUUUUUUUUAUAACAAAGAAAACCGGAAGACUUCCAGAGAAUUCGUCUCUAAAAGACACACAUAGAGUCAAUUGCAAAACUAACAUAUACAUUAACAAGAAAACUUUAGUGUAAGUCUUCUCUUCGGUGAAGACUUACACGGAAGUCUUCUGAUGGACAAAUCUGGAAAAAAGAUUUAAUUUCGUACCUUUAACCAGUAAGAUAAACUUUUUAGCUUCUCCAACCACAUAAUACUUUGCCACCAAAGCAACCUACUUGUUAAUGACGACGAAUCAUGAGAUUGAAUGGUUUUAUGAACCUUAAAAAUUUUAGAAUCAAAAUCUUUGGUUUUAGGAUGAAUAUAGAGAGAAAGUGGAAGAAAUGUUGUUUUUAGUUUCUAAGAAAUGAGAUAGAAAGAGUCAAAAUCGAUCUUUAGGUGCAUUAAGAGCUUCAAAUUGGUUAUUCAUGAUAGUUGGUAUAUUGAUGGCAAUGACAAUAUUGUAAAUACUUGAAGAAGAUGAAGAUAAGAGAGUAAAAAAUUUAUUUUGA